rnacentral:tRNA from 1 species
CGGGUGGUGGCGCAGUUUGGUUAGCGCGCUGCGUUCGGGACGCAGAGGCCGGGAGUUCAAAUCUCCCCCACCCGA